CUGAGAUGGCAGAACGCUCAGUUCCUACAGAGAAGGCCAGAGCUUCCAGUUAGAACAACAGAGACAACACCUUACUAGAGGAACAGUUACUACACACAAGAUGGCAAAAGAGCAAAGAAAAAGUUGGCCUUGGUGAACUGCUCCAUGUAGAGCUGUUCAUCUGUGAAAGGAGCCAGGUGCACGUCUCCGAUGGUGGGGAACAUUUUACCUGCGACACACAGCAGCAGCAGAAAGUCAGAAAGACAGAGGCUGUCUCUACAGCUACACAUCUAGAACCUGUCACAGCGUGUGUUUCAUCCAGAGUCCUCGACCUCCUCACCGUUGGGUUUGAGGAACUUCUUGGCGUGCAGCGACACCUCCUCCACCUUCCCGGGGAUCACCACCACCCGCUCACUCAGGCGGUUGCUGUUUACCAGCACCUGCAAGGGAAACACGGCCUGGUAAGAACUGAUCCUGCAGCUCUGUCCAGGAUGGAUGCUAAAUGGAACAGGUGCAAGCAAACAUGGGCACCAUGUUAACGGUCACAGUUCCUACAGACAGGUACGCACCUCAGCAUGCUGAGCCAUGGUGCUGGCC